rnacentral:lncRNA from 1 species
CAUAUUCAGUACAGAUUUAUAGCUUAGAAGCAAUAGGCUAUAAACUUGUAGCCUAUUGUACAGGUGAACAGUAAGUUAUACCAUCUAGGUUUGUGUAAGUACAGGCUAUGAUGUUCACACAAUGGUGAAAUUGCCUAACAAUGCAUUUCUUGGAACAUAUUUCCAUCAUCUUUGUCAUUAAACAACGUAUGGCCGUAUUCACCUCCUAGGUCU